rnacentral:lncRNA from 1 species
GUUAACUCUGACACAGUAGUGAAGAUUCAUGUCCCCAAUGCAACUUCAAAGGUCACAAAGCCAGGAAAGAUGGAAUCAAAGAGGCUCAUUUUGAGUCUAGUCAAGUUCACCAACAGUCCAGAGAGGGAAGGAAUCAAUUUCACAUCCUGGACAUAAUAGGUGAAGCUACCAGAAAUCAAUGGUCAAUGAAGCUACUUAAUGGAAUCUACUGAAUUGUGAGCAGCAUGACUUGUGAGCACACUCUUCAACUAAGGAAGGAGUCUCUUUGAUACACAAUAAAUUAGUACAGCUUGCCCA